UACGGAGGGUGCGAGCGUUAAUCGGAAUUACUGGGCGUAAAGGGUUCGUAGGUGGUUUGAUAAGUUAUCUGUGAAAGCCCUGGGCUUAACCUGGGAAGGCCAGAUAAGACUGUUAGGCUAGAGUAUGGGAGGGGUAGUGGAAUUUCCGGUGUAGCGGUGAAAUGCGUAGAGAUCGGAAGGAACACCGGUGGCGAAGGCGGCUACCUGGCCUAAUACUGACACUGAGGGACGAAAGCGUGGGGAGCAAACAGG
rnacentral:rRNA from 1 species